rnacentral:rRNA from 1 species
UUGGAGGGCAAGUCUGGUGCCAGCAGCCACGGUAAUUCCAGCUCCAAUAGCGUAUAUUAAAGUUGUUGCAGUUAAAAAGCUCGUAGUUGAACUUCGGGAUCAAUGGAUCGGUCAUGCCGUUGGUAUGUACUGGUCACAUUGGUUCUCACCUUCUAAGGAACCAUGAUGUCAUUCAUUUGAUGUUGUGGGGAAUUAGGACUGUUACCUUGAAAAAAUUAGAGUGUUUAAAGCAGGCAUGCGCUUGAAUACAUUAGCAUGGAAUAAUGAAAUAGGACGUUCGAUCCUAUUUUGUUGGUUUCUAGGAUUGACGUAAUGAUUAAUAGGGAUAGUUGGGGGCAUUAGUAUUCAAUUGUCAGAGGUGAAAUUCUUGGAUUUAUUGAAGACUGACUACUGCGAAAGCAUUUGCCAAGGAUGUUUUCAUUAAUCAAGAACGAAAGUUAGGGGAUCGAAGACGAUCAGAUACCGUCGUAGUCUUAACCAUAAACUAUGCCGACUAGGGAUCGGAUGAUGUUAAUUUUUUAAUGACUCAUUCGGCGCCUUACGGGAAAC